rnacentral:ncRNA from 1 species
GGAGAAGGUACUACGGACCAGUAGAUCGCGUAGGUUACGGACGCGUUUGAAGGAGGAUAGGGGUAGGUUAGGGAAAAUGGGGUGGGUGGUGUUAUCGAGAUGGAGGCGACGGAAGGCCCGUAGGAUCCUCCGGGCGCGUCUCCCCUGGCCCGAGAGGGUCGGGAAACUUCUGAACCACCUCCCGUGAUAGGGAUCGGGGCCUGGAACCAAUCCCGUGAACGAGGAAUUCCCGGUAGGCGCGGGUCAUCAGCCCGCGUCGAUCACGUCCCUGCCCUUUGUACACACCGCCCGUAUACAUAUAUAUGCAUAUACAUGCAUACAUAUGUAUAUACAUAAAUACACAUGCAUGAACAUAUAUACAUACAUAUAUAUACCUAUAUGUAUAUAUAUAUAUAUAUAUAAACAUACAUAUAUAUAUAUA